UACAGAGGUCUCAAGCGUUGUUCGGAUUCAUUGGGCGUAAAGGGUGCGUAGGUGGCAUGGUCAGUCGGAUGUGAAAUCCCGGAGCUCAACUUCGGAAUUGCCUUUGAUACUGUCUGUCUUCGAGUUCGGGAGAGGUUGGCGGAAUUCCUAGUGUAGAGGUGAAAUUCGUAGAUAUUAGGAAGAACACCAGUGGCGAAGGCGGCCAACUGGCCCGAUACUGACGCUCAUGUGCGAAAGCGUGGGGAGCAAACAGG
rnacentral:rRNA from 1 species